rnacentral:tRNA from 1 species
UAGCUCAGCUUGGUAGAGCACCUGGUUUGGGACCAGGGGGUCGCAGGUUCAAAUCCUG